rnacentral:rRNA from 1 species
GUACUACUCUCAGAGUUUGAUCCUGGCUCAGGACGAACGCUGGCGGCGUGCCUAACACAUGCAAGUCAACGGGGUUAAAGACUUCGGUUUUUAACUUAGUGGCGAACGGGUGAGUAACGCGUGAGAAACCUGCCUUUCAGUGGGGGACAACAGUUGGAAACGACUGCUAAUACCGCAUAAUGUUAUUUGGGGGCAUCCCCGAAUAACCAAAGCUUUAUGUGCUGAAAGAUGGUCUCGCGUCUGAUUAGCUAGUUGGUGAGGUAACGGCUCACCAAGGCGACGAUCAGUAGCCGGUCUGAGAGGAUGAACGGCCACAUUGGGACUGAGAUACGGCCCAG